AGCGGCGGACGGGUGAGUAACACGUGGGCAACCUGCCUGUAAGACUGGGAUAACUCCGGGAAACCGGAGCUAAUACCGGAUAACAUUUUUUCUUGCAUAAGAGAAAAUUGAAAGAUGGUUUCGGCUAUCACUUACAGAUGGGCCCGCGGUGCAUUAGCUAGUUGGUGAGGUAACGGCUCACCAAGGCAACGAUGCAUAGCCGACCUGAGAGGGUGAUCGGCCACACUGGGACUGAGACACGGCCCAGACUCCUACGGGAGGCAGCAGUAGGGAAUCUUCCGCAAUGGACGAAAGUCUGACGGAGCAACGCCGCGUGAGUGAUGAAGGCUUUCGGGUCGUAAAACUCUGUUGUUAGGGAAGAACAAGUACAAGAGUAACUGCUUGUACCUUGACGGUACCUAACCAGAAAGCCACGGCUAACUACGUGCCAGCAGCCGCGGUAAUACGUAGGUGGCAAGCGUUAUCCGGAAUUAUUGGGCGUAAAGCGCGCGCAGGCGGUUUCUUAAGUCUGAUGUGAAAGCCCACGGCUCAACCGUGGAGGGUCAUUGGAAACUGGGGAACUUGAGUGCA
rnacentral:rRNA from 2 species